GACAUUAUGACUAAACAAACUGCACGGGAACAGGAAACCUGCCUUCCCCCAAUGAUAUUCUUCAGUUUAUUUUAGUCUGCUACUCACUCAGUCAGCAGCAAGACAACAUGGUGAUUACAACUCCCUGCUUCAGACUAUUAAUGCUUGAAGUUAUUCUGCUGGGGACACAUGUUCAAAAUGGCUUUAACCAAAAAAUGCGUGCAGCUACUCUUCGUGUGUCUCCUAA